GUGCAGCAGCGCGGUACUACCGGCAGCCCGAGUGAUGGCCGAUAUUAUUGGGCCUAAAGCGUCCGUAGCUGGCCGAACAAGUCCGUCGGGAAAUCCACGUGCUUAACACGUGGGCGUCCAGCGGAAACUGUCCGGCUUGGGGCCGGAAGAUCCGAGGGGUACGUCCGGGGUAGGAGUGAAAUCCCGUAAUCCUGGACGGACCGCCGGUGGCGAAAGCGCCUCGGAAGGACGGACCCGACGGUGAGGGACGAAAGCCAGGGUCUCGAACCGGAUUAGAAACCCGGGUAGUCC
rnacentral:rRNA from 1 species